UACGUAGGUGGCAAGCGUUGUCCGGAUUUACUGGGCGUAAAGAGCGCGCAGGCGGUCGUUCAAGUCGCGUGUGAAAGCCCCCGGCUCAACUGGGGAGGGUCACGCGAUACUGAUCGACUCGAAGGCAGGAGAGGGAAGUGGAAUUCCCGGUGUAGUGGUGAAAUGCGUAGAGAUCGGGUGGAACACCAGCGGCGAAGGCGGCAUCCUGGCCCUGUUCUGACGCUGAGGCGCGAUAGCGUGGGGAGCAAACGGG
rnacentral:rRNA from 1 species